AUGCUCCUCUUCAUCUGAGUGUACGCGUAGCUCACUGUGACAACAGCUCAGCUGCCCCCUGCGUGGCCCUCGCUGACUGCCAGCGCUGCCCACAGAUGGACCAACUUUCACAGCAGUGGUCAGAGGCAAAGGCGAUUUUGGAUCCCCCUGCUAUAGCUAAGGAGGCACAGAGAGGUCGAUCCGUUCGCCCGAAGUCACACAGCUCUUACACGGCAGCCUGGCUUCGUCGCCCGAGCUCUGGUCGGUAGGCAGAAUCCUGUCAUACCUCGGAUUUUGGUGCCUUCAGUCUGAAAAAUACACACAUCCAUUUGGUACCCUAGAGGAACUGGAGAAUUGUCUUCCCCUGAAUGAAGCUGGACCAUUCUGGGAUUUGGAGAAAGGGCCAGGCAGGCAACUCGUGAGCGAGUGAUGUGGAUCUGGUGGGCAGACCGCAGAGGUUGGUGGGGAACUCGAAGGAACCAGGACGCCCGCUGUGAUGUACUGGCCUGGGUGCCCCGCUCAGGGCACUGGCACCCUGGGAGCUGGAGAGAUGCAGCUGGAAGAGCCCGCGCCCGGGGCACGAGGGGUCCCAUGCCAUGUCACGGGCUUGUCCCCAGCUGCCACCGUGCUGAUGGCUUGGCCGCCACUGCUGCUUACUGAGCACACCCGCGUGGGCCCUCGCUGCUGUGCCUUCUGUCGAGGCUCCGGCUCUCUCAUCCCUGAGGGACCCCGGCAUCCCACCUACCCAGGCUCACCAAGACAGGGCCCAUCACCGGUCCUCCGCACUCCUGAGUGUCGCACAGAGCGGGGGUCAGGCCACCUUAGGUUGUUGGGCUAUGGUUUUUGCAGAGUCCUGAGCUCCUGUGAAGAUCUGCUUCUCUCCAGCCUUGGGCUAUCUGCAUUCUUGAACAUCUCCGGGCCCAGAAGGAAAAGAAGAAUGCUGAGCAGCUCAGGGAAUGGCUUGAAUGAAAAGAGCACGUUCCUGGCGGUGGUGACAUCGGUCUGCAAGCAGUCAGCCCGAUAG
rnacentral:lncRNA from 1 species